GACGUAGGGCGCAAGCGUUUGUCCGGAUUUAUUGGGCGUAAAGAGCUCGUAGGCGGCCUGUCGCGUCGACCGUGAAAACCCGCAGCUCAACUGCGGGCUUGCGGUCGAUACGGGCAGGCUGGAGUUCGGUAGGGGAGACUGGAAUUCCUGGUGUAGCGGUGAAAUGCGCAGAUAUCAGGAGGAACACCGGUGGCGAAGGCGGGGUCUCUGGGCCGAUACUGACGCUGAGGAGCGAAAGCGUGGGGAGCGAACAGG
rnacentral:rRNA from 1 species